AGUGAACGCUGGCGGCGUGCUUAACACAUGCAAGUCGAACGAGAACGGGUUAUAGCUUGCUAUAAUUGUCAGCUAAGUGGCGCACGGGUGAGUAAUGUAUAGGUAAUAUGCCUCUUACUAAGGGAUAACAAAUGGAAACGUUUGCUAAUACCUUAUACUCCUUAUUAACAUAAGUUAAUAAGGGAAAGAUUUAUUGGUAAGAGAUUAGCCUGUAUUGUAUCAGUUAGUUGGUGGGGUAAUGGCUUACCAAGACUAUGACACAUAGCUGGUUUGAGAGGAUGAUCAGUCACACUGGAACUGAGACACGGUCCAGACUCCUACGGGAGGCAGCAGUGGGGAAUAUUGCACAAUGGACGAAAGUCUGAUACAGCAACGCCGCGUGGAGGAUGACACAUUUCGGUGCGUAAACUCCUUUUAUAUGAGAAGAUAAUGACGGUAUUAUAUGAAUAAGCACCGGCUAACUCCGUGCCAGCCGCCGCAGUAA
rnacentral:rRNA from 1 species